AUAGGCCUAGAGGAGCCCUGCCCUUCUGAGUGGAGGGUGGAGAAGGGUCACCUUAGAAACGUGGCUGAGCUCUCAAACCAGCCGGAUUCGGAGGCAGAGUGCUGGGGACAAUGAAUGUCAACCAGAAGGUUCUAUGGGCUUCGAAGCUGUGAGAGUUAAGAUUGUCAAUUUGACAAAACAGAACAUCAUCAAAGAGUCUCCUCUAGGCGUCUCUGAGGGAUUUUCUAGAUCAGAUCAGCUGAGGAGAGAAGACCCAUUCUACAGGCACAACGUGACAAGCCACCUCAGGCUCGUACUGGUGUAUCUUCCUCAUCGCCAAUCGUGAGCUACAAUAAAGCCUGCCUUCCUC
ensembl:lincRNA 4930504D19Rik RIKEN cDNA 4930504D19 gene